rnacentral:rRNA from 1 species
AGUCGAGGGGCAGCACAGGUAGCAAUACUGGGUGGCGACCGGCAAACGGGUGCGGAACACGUACGUAACCUUCCUUUAAGUGGGAGAUAGCCCGAAGAAAUUCGGAUUAAUACCCCAUAAGAUUGUGGAGUGGCAUCACUCAGCAAUUAAAGAAAUUCGCUUAAAGAUGGGCGUGCGGCUGAUUAGGUAGUUGGUGAGGUAACGGCUCACCAAGCCAACGAUCAGUAACUGGCGUGAGAGCGCGACCAGUCACACGGGCACUGAGACACGGGCCCGACUCCUACGGGAGGCAGCAGUAAGGAAUAUUGGUCAAUGGACGCAAGUCUGAACCAGCCAUGCCGCGUGAAGGAUGAAGGUCCUCUGGAUUGUAAACUUCUUUUAUAUGGGAAGAAACCACUUUUUUCUAAAGGUGUUGACGGUACCAUAGGAAUAAGCACCGGCUAACUCCGUGCCAGCAGCCGCGGUAAUACGGAGGGUGCAAGCGUUAUCCGGAUUCACUGGGUUUAAAGGGUGCGUAGGCGGAUUAGUAAGUCCGUGGUGAAAUCUCCGAGCUUAACUCGGAAACUGCCGUGGAUACUAUUAAUCUUGAAUACUGUGGAGGUUAGCGGAAUAUGUCAUGUAGCGGUGAAAUGCAUAGAUAUGACAUAGAACACCAAUUGCGAAGGCAGCUGGCUACACAGAGAUUGACGCUGAGGCACGAAAGCGUGGGGAUCAAACAGGAUUAGAUACCCUGGUAGUCCACGCCCUAAACGAUGAUUACUCGACAUUUGCGAUAUACAGUAAGUGUCUGAGCGAAAGCAUUAAGUAAUCCACCUGGGAAAGUACGACCGCAAGGUUGAAACUCAAAGGAAUUGACGG